GGGAUCACACAAGCGGUGGAGCAUGUUGUUUAAUUCGAAGCAACGCGAAGAACCUUACCAGGCCUUGACAUGUACGGAUUAGCUCCCUGAAAGGGGAGUGACAGCUCUUCGGAGUCGGAACGUACACAGGUGUUGCAUGGCUGUCGUCAGCUCGUGCCGUGAGGUGUUGGGUUAAGUCCCGUAACGAGCGAAACCCUUAUCGUUAGUUGCCAGCGGGUAAUGCCGGGGACUCUAGCGAGACUGCCGUUGUCAAAACGGAGGAAGGUGGGGACGACGUCAAGUCAUCAUGGCCCUUAUGGCCUGGGCUACAAACGUGCUACAAUGGUCCGUACAAUGGGUACCCAAGUCGCGAGACGGA
rnacentral:rRNA from 1 species